AUUCCAGCUCCAAUAGCGUAUAUUAAAGUUGUUGCAGUUAAAACGCUCGUAGUCGGAUUUCGGGGCGGGCCGACCGGUCUGCCGAUGGGUAUGCACUGGCCGGCGCGUCCUUCCACCCGGAGACCGCGCCUACUCUUAACUGAGCGGGCGCGGGAGACGGGUCUUUUACUUUGAAAAAAUCAGAGUGUUUCAAGCAGGCAGUCGCUCUUGCAUGGAUUAGCAUGGGAUAAUGAAAUAGGACUCUGGUGCUAUUUUGUUGGUUUCGAACACCGGAGUAAUGAUUAAAAGGGACGGUUGGGGUUCUUCGUAUUCAAUUGUCAGAGGUGAAAUUCUUGGAUUUAUGGAAGACGAACUGCUGCGAAAGCGUCGAACAAGGACGUUCUCAUUA
rnacentral:rRNA from 1 species